GGGGUUGACUGGAUUUGACGGCAAGAUGAGAUGGUAUGUAAGCACGCGGAGACUCGUUGGCUUUCUCCUAAAACAAAGUGAACAGACAAUUAAUUGGCAACAAUAAGUAUGCUCUCGCUGCUUAAUCGAAGCACAGUAGAUUAUUAGCUUAAUCCAGUCACCAGGUGACAGGACGAGACGUCACUCCGAGGGUAAUGUUCCGAAUCUGAAGAUCAAGUGGCGCACGUAAAAUCGGAAAUAGCACAGGUAUGCCUCGAUGCAGGUGUGAAAUUUUAGAGGAUAAGGCAUCAGUUGGUGGUCCAGGUCUUGCUGCUGCUCGAAAACCAAAGGCUGGAAUAAGCGUGUAGAAAGCAUAUGGUUUCCUUGUUCGGACGAGGGUUCGAAUCCCUCCAGCUCCACC
rnacentral:tmRNA from 1 species